rnacentral:rRNA from 1 species
UGCCAGCAGCCGCGGUAAUACGAGUACCUCAAGCGUUAUCCGGAAUUAUUGGGCGUAAAGGGUCCGUAGGUGGCCAUAUUAGUCAGAUGUGAAAGAUCCGAGCUCAACUCGGGGACCGCAUUUGAAACGGUAUGGCUUGAGUAUGCGAGAGGUGAACAGAACUCAUGGUGUAGGGGUGAAAUCCGUUGAUAUCAUGGGGAAUACCAAAAGCGAAGGCAGUUCACUGGCGCAUUACUGACACUAAGGGACGAAACCCUGGGUAGCGAAUGGGAUUAGAUA